rnacentral:tRNA from 1 species
ACUAUUUUGGCAGAAUUGAUGUGAUAAAUUUAGAAUUUAUUUAUGUAAUUUAUAUUACAAAUAGUA